GUGAUGCGCAGCUACACAUGCAGUCGAGCGAGAUCUUCGGAUCUAGCGGCGGACGGGUGAGUAACGCGUGGGAACGUACCCUCUUCUGCGGGAUAGCCACUGGAAACGGUGAGUAAUACCGCAUACGCCCUUCGGGGGAAAGAUUUAUCGGAGGAGGAUCGGCCCGCGUUGGAUUAGGUAGUUGGUGGGGUAAUGGCCUACCAAGCCUACGAUCCAUAGCUGGUUUUAGAGGAUGAUCAGCCACACUGGGACUGAGACACGGCCCAGACUCCUACGGGAGGCAGCAGUGGGGAAUCUUAGACAAUGGGCGCAAGCCUGAUCUAGCCAUGCCGCGUGAGUGACGAAGGCCUUAGGGUCGUAAAGCUCUUUCGCCUGUGAUGAUAAUGACAGUAGCAGGUAAAGAAACCCCGGCUAACUCCGUGCCAGCAGCCGCGGUAAUACGGAGGGGGUUAGCGUUGUUCGGAAUUACUGGGCGUAAAGCGCACGUAGGCGGAUUGGAAAGUAUGGGGUGAAAUCCCAGGGCUCAACCCUGGAACGGCCUCAUAAACUUCCAGUCUGGAGUUCGAGAGAGGUGAGUGGAAUUCCGAGUGUAGAGGUGAAAUUCGUAGAUAUUCGGAGGAACACCAGUGGCGAAGGCGGCUCACUGGCUCGAUACUGACGCUGAGGUGCGAAAGUGUGGGGAGCAAACAGGAUUAGAUACCCUGG
rnacentral:rRNA from 1 species